rnacentral:rRNA from 1 species
CCUACGGGUGGCUGCAGUGAGGAAUAUUGGUCAAUGGACGAGAGUCUGAACCAGCCAAGUAGCGUGAAGGAUGACUGCCCUAUGGGUUGUAAACUUCUUUUAUAUGGGAAUAAAAUGUUCCACGUGUGGGAUUUUGUAUGUACCAUAUGAAUAAGGAUCGGCUAACUCCGUGCCAGCAGCCGCGGUAAUACGGAGGAUCCGAGCGUUAUCCGGAUUUAUUGGGUUUAAAGGGAGCGUAGGUGGAUUGUUACUUCAGUUGUGAAAGUUUGCGGCUCAACCGUAAAAUUGCAGUUGAAACUGGCAGUCUUGAGUACAGUAGAGGUGGGCGGAAUUCGUGGUGUAGCGGUGAAAUGCUUAGAUAUCACGAAGAACUCCGAUGGCGAAGGCAGUUCACUGGACUGCAACUGACACUGAGGCUCGAAAGUGUGGGUAUCAAACAGGAUUAGAUACCCUGGUAGUC